UUUUUAGACCUAUGCAAAGUUAUUUUUGGAUAAUGCUUCAGGGUGGGAACACAGCAGAGCCUCUGAUUGUAGCUUGUGCCGUAGGUAUCUGGAAAGGG
rnacentral:SRP_RNA from 1 species